UACGGCGGGUGCGAGCGUUGUUCGGAAUUACUGGGCGUAAAGGGCGUGUAGGCGGGUAUAUAAGUCAGAUGUGAAAUACCUUAGCAUAACUUAGGAAGUGCAUCUGAAACUGUAUACCUUGAGUACGAUAGAGGAGAGUGGAAUUCCCAGUGUAGAGGUGAAAUUCAUAGAUAUUGGGAAGAACACCGGUGGCGAAGGCGGCUCUCUGGAUCGAUACUGACGCUGAUACGCGAAAGCGUGGGGAGCAAGCAGG
rnacentral:rRNA from 1 species